rnacentral:rRNA from 1 species
UACGAAGGGGGCUAGCGUUGCUUGGAAUGACUGGGCGUAAAGGGCGCGUAGGCAGCGGCUACAGUCGGAUGUGAAAUCCCUCGGCUUAACCGGGGAACUGCGUCUGAUACUGGAUGGCUUGAGAUUGGGAGAGGGAUGCGGAAUUCCAGGUGUAGCGGUGAAAUGCGUAGAUAUCUGGAGGAACACCGGUGGCGAAGGCGGCAUCCUGGACCAACACUGACGCUGAGGAGCGAAAGCCAGGGGAGCAAACGGG